rnacentral:rRNA from 1 species
GAUGAACGCUGGCGGUCUGCUUAACACAUGCAAGUCGAACGAAGUCUUAGGACUUAGUGGCGGACGGGUGAGUAACACGUGAGAAUCUGCCUUCGGGUCGGGGAUAACAGUUGGAAACGACUGCUAAUACCGGAUGUGCCCAUGGGUGAAAGAUUAAUUGCCAGAAGAUGAGCUCGCGUCUGAUUAGCUAGUUGGUGGGGUAAAAGCCUACCAAGGCGACGAUCAGUAGCUGGUCUGAGAGGAUGAGCAGCCACACUGGGACUGAGACACGGCCCAGACUCCUACGGGAGGCAGCAGUGGGAAUUUUCCGCAAUGGGCGAAAGCCUGACGGAGCAAGACCGCGUGAGGGAGGAAGGCCUUUGGGUUGUAAACCUCUUUUGUCAGGGAAGAAAAAAUGACGGUACCUGACGAAUCAGCCUCGGCUAACUCCGUGCCAGCCGCCGCGGUAA